rnacentral:rRNA from 1 species
UACGGGGGGUCCAAGCGUUGUUCGGAAUCACUGGGCGUAAAGCGCACGUAGGUGGCUUUUCAAGUCUGUUGUGAAAGCCCAGGGCCUAACCCUGGAAGUGCAGCAGAUACUGUUAAGCUUGAGUAUGGGAGAGGAUAGUGGAAUUCCUGGUGUAGUGGUGAAAUACGUAGAUAUCAGGAGGAACACCGGUGGCGAAGGCGGCUAUCUGGCCCAAUACUGACGCUGAGGUGCGAAAGCGUGGGGAUCAAACAGG